UUUUUAUUUAAUUUUAAUUGAUAUAUUUUUCUUGAAUUUGCUUGUCAUUUGUAUGAAAUAUUUGCAACCUCACAUUUUCCCCCAAAUGUGACCCUAUGCUCAGCCAAACUUAUUCAACUAAAUAUUUAUAAGUAUGUAUUAUGUGUCAGGCAUUAUGAUAUACAUUGGGAACACAUUAAUGAAACUGAUUUGUAGUUCUCUCAGCAUGACACUUUUGCUUGUUCUAGGCCUUUGCACUUGCUAUUGUUGCUACCUGGAAUGUUCUUUCUUCUCUGGAUAACUCCUACUUGCUGUUGGGUCUCAGCUUAAAUGUAUGUAGUUAGAAAUUCAGUGUAUGUUUGUUCUCUAUGUCUGCCCAUCCUUUUCAUGUCAUACAUAUUACCACUUUGAGUUAGAAUUUCACAUUUACGCUUGUCUCUUCCACUAGAUUGAAAGCUCCUUGAGAACAAUAUUUUAUGCUUAUAUUUGCAUUUACACUAUCUAAAAAUGUUGGAUACAUAGUAAUAAACUAAUGAACAGAUAUAUUUUAAUGUUGAAUGAAUUACUACUCAUGCAAUUUGUUCAUUUAAACUACUAAUGUCUUUGCCUGUAUGUGUGUGUGCUUCUAAGUUCAUUUUCCCUUCUACUUAAUUUUUGGGGAAGUAUUAAUUUUAUAUAUAUGGGUGGAAUCUAUCAGUAUAUCUCUUUUUGAUUUGCUUAACAAAUUUUAAUUAUAAAUUCAACAUAUGUUUUUGUUAAAAAAUUCAAUUGGCACAGAAAAACCCAAAGUACAAUGCGGACAUUCUCUCACCCUCCCUCCAUAUGAUCAUUAUGAAGCUCGUUGUGAAUUUUUCCAAAUAUUUUCUGCAUAUAUACAAAAAUGUUAUAUGUGUUCCUUGUUUCUUUAAAUAAAUGAGAUAGGGCAGCCCAGGGGGCUCAGCGGUUUAGUGCCGCCUUCAGCCCAGGGCAUGAUCUUGGAGACCCGGGAUUGAGUCCCAUGUCAGGCUCCCUGCAUGGGGCCGGCUUCUCGCUCUGCCUGUGUCUCUGCCUCUGUCUCUCUCUGUGUCUCUCAUGAAUAAAUAAAUAAAUAAUUUUUAAAAAUAAGAUAGUACAAUGAAUAUAGUGUUCUGAAACUUGCUUUUUGUUCCUUAAUCUUACUCAUGUAUAUUUAGGAAUUCUAUGUUUUGGUCAUGGUAACACAUUUGUACUCAUUAUUUAAAAUAAUUGAAUACUAUUGUAAUAAACCUACCACAAUUUAUCUGGUUAUCCAUCAGACAUUUACCAGGUAUACAUUUUUUCUCAUUAACGCAUGUUACUACAAAAAGAAUUACCCUUUCCUUACCUAUAUUAAUUUAUUAUUCUAUUUUUAUCUUAUCAAAAAACCAUAACUCUGUUAUGGAUUUAAGAUAGUCCUAUUUUUGCCUAAUAUCCUAGCGACUGUCAGCAUCUUCAAAGACUAUUAUGUCUUCUCUCCUCCGCAUCUUUAAUUUUUCCCUCUCUAUUGGAUCAUUCCCAUGAACACAAAAAACAUGCUACAAUAAUUCCUUUCUUGAGAAAAAAAAGAUAUAAAAUCUCCACCACCCCUGGUUGCUCCUUUUUAUUGCGAAUAUACUCAACUACAGUUGUUUAUGGUCAUUUUCUAACUCUCAUUCUCUCUUAACCUACUGUGAUAAGAUGCUCUUUCAUACCACUGCACUAACCCUACAUUGGUCAAAGCCACCACCCAUCACCUCUAUAUUAUCAAAUCUAAUUUGCUGUAAGCAUUUACUGAAUAAAUUUAAAAAUAUUAUUUUUUGCUAUAAACAUUGAGGUGCAUGUGUCCCUCUGAAUCAGUGUUUUUGUAUCCUUUGGGUGAAUACGUAGGUGCAAUUGCUGGGUCAUAGGAUAAUUCUAUUUUUAACUUUUUUGAAGAACUUCCAUACUGUUUUCCAAAGUUGCUGCACCAGUUUGCACACCCACCAACAGUUCAAAAGUGUUCCCCAUUCUCUGUAUCCAGCCAAUACCCGUUGUUUUCUGUGUUGUUAAUUUUAGCCAUUCUGAUAGGUAUAAGGUGAUAUCUCAUUGUACUUUUGUGUUUCCCUGAUGAUGAGUGAUAUUGAGUAUCUCUUUACGUGUCUGUUAGCCAUCUGUGUAUCUUCUUCAGAAAAAUGUCUAUUUAUGUCUUCUGCCCAUUUCUUAACUGGAUUAUUUGUUUUGGGGGUGUUGAGUUUGAUAAGUUCUUUAUAGAUUUUGGAUACUGUUUAUCAGAUAUGUCAUUUGCAAAUAUCUUCUCUCAUUCCAAAGGUUGCUUUUUAGUUAUUGAUUGUUUCCUUUUCUGUGCAGAAGCUUUUUAUUUUGAAAUCCCAAUAGUUCAUUUGCUUUUGUUUCCUUGCCUUUGAAGAUAUGUCUAGUAAGAAGUUGCUAAGGCUGAUGUCAAAGAGGUUGCUGUCUGUGUUCUCCCCCAGGAUUCUGAUGAUUUCCUGUCUCACAUUUAGGUCUUUCAUCCAUUUUGAAUUCACUUUUGUAUGUGGUGUAAGAAAGCGGUCCAGUUUCAUUCUUUUGCAUGUUGCUGUCCAGUUUUCCCAACAUCAUUUGAAAAGACUUUUUUCCAUUGGAUAUUCUUUCCUGUUUUGUCGAAGAUUAAUUGACCAUCUAAUUGUGGGUUUACUUUUAGAUUUUAUAUUCUAUUAUACUAACUUUUUAUUCUUUCAGAGUACCUUUAGAAACAUUUUGUCAACAUGGAAACUAUUCAUUGGAAUUCUCAUCGAUUUGGGAAUGACUGAUGUCUUACAGCUAUUUACUCUUCCUAGUAUAAGCAUUGUUUUUUUAAUUAAAAACCAUUUAGGUAAAGGGGCACCUGGACGGCUCAGUCAGUUGAGCAUCUGCCUUUGGCUCAGGUCAUGAUCUUGGGGUUCUGGAACUGAGCCCCACAUUGGGC
rnacentral:lncRNA from 1 species